rnacentral:rRNA from 1 species
AGAGCGAACGCUGGCGGCAGGCCUAACACAUGCAAGUCGAGCGCCCGUAGCAAUACGGGAGCGGCAGACGGGAGAGUAACACGUGGGAACGUGCCCUUCAGUUCGGAACAACCCAGGGAAACUUGGGCUAAUACCGGAUACGCCCUUACGGGGAAAGAUUUAUCGCUGAAGGAGCGGCCCGCGUCUGAUUAGCUAGUUGGUGGGGUAAUGGCCCACCAAGGCGACGAUCAGUAGCUGGUCUGAGAGGAUGAUCAGCCUCACUGGGACUGAGACACGGCCCAGACUCCUACGGGAGGCAGCAGUGGGGAAUAUUGGACAAUGGGCGCAAGCCUGAUCCAGCCAUGCCGCGUGGGUGAUGAAGGCCCUAGGGUUGUAAAGCCCUUUCGGCGGGGAAGAUAAUGACGGUACCGCAGAAGAACGCCCGGCUAACUUCGUGCCAGCAGCCGC